rnacentral:rRNA from 1 species
UCUGACCUCGAUCAGGUAGGGAUACC